AAGUAGGAAAGUCCCAGAGGAUCCAAGCGUCUGAAGGAGGAACUUCGGGGCUCUUCUGAUUCUUGCAUGAACUUACACAGAAGUAAUGGGGAACGUGCAGAACAUGCCCAGGUUCCUGUACUGGGUUAUCAGGGAGAGAGGGACGUGUUUAGGGAGGGGAAGGAAGGAGGGUGCAUGCCCAGCCUGGUGUUGAUGCCUGCACAGCAUUAGAGGUGUGUUAGGAAAGUGUUACAGGGUGUUUGUACAACAGCCUGCGUACAUGUUUGCUCUGUCUGGGGUAUUCGAUAGUCUCAGCUCCUAUACAUGUUUGUUUGUGUCUCUUGCUUCUCACUGGGGGCUGUAUUUGUGUUGGGUUGUGCGUGAGCCUGUGCCCCUGGGUGUAUCUGAACUGACACCAUUCACAAAACAGAUCCCCAUCCAAACCACCUGUGGCUGUGCAGCCCCUUACCCUCCUUAUGUGCUCACCUGCACGCCUUCAGCUUCCUUUCUUAUUUGAUGUUGUGGCUCCCCUGCAAAUCCUUUAAGUUUGUAAAUGAUGUAAGAAAAUGGCAGAGCAGAAAAGAAAGCUGGAACAGCUGGGGAUGCCUUGGGGAUGGCGCUUCCUGGCCCCCGAGAUUACUGCGCUAUCGCAUUGCACUUAAUUGUUGCAGUGUUUAGCAAAUUGCAUUAAUUAAAGUGGCACAUCUGGCCUUUUUAUCAGAGGCUGUGCAGUUCUGGUUUUGAUCCUGCAGUGACAGACUGACGGUAUCAGCACCCCUGGGUAAACACUCAUUACACCAGGGGAAGGGGUUCCUUUAUUCUGCUGAAACCCGGGUGUGAUGGGAGCACAGAAGCCUCUUUGAGAAGCCUCUGGUAAGCCCUGGAAAGAAAAAGUCGGUCAUUAGUAAAGUUCAGUCACCACGGCUCAGCCCUACCCUGCCCAGAAAGGUUGGGCUUUCCCUCUUCCCAACUAAACCUGUUGUAGGUUUGCACCCAAAAGGUAGCUGAAUCAAGCGAUCAGCCAAAGCUGAAGCUCUGCUCCCCUCGAGACUCACCUUCCUUUUCCUGUGUGUGCACCUAUAGCCUGUACUGCAGCCCCCUCGUUGUACAGAGCAGCUCACAAGCAAACAUAUUGCUUAAUUCUGUCUAACUCUCCCAACCUCCUAGAUUCAAGGAAGGGAGCUGAAACUCUCAGACAGGAUUUAAUGCACUCCACAGUCAAGAUCUCUUCAGCGCUGAAGCCACCCACAGAUCUUUUUGGGGGAAAAACACAGACUUCCUGUGUAAGAACUUGGUGCCUCCACUCUUAAAUCAUCGCACACGCACUCCAUCGUUUCAUCCCAGCUAUUUUUAAGGAUGCAUCACGUAAAGGACACUUUGCCCCCCACAUCAGGGGGAAAUUCUUAAAAUGAUCGAGCAUGAAUGGAGCCAAAUUACCUAAUGAAACAAUUAUUUUAGCAGCAUGGAUUCAUUUGCUAGCUCCUGUCACCAUACUGCACCCUCCAUGUCCACUCUUCCAGAGAAACCAAGUCUGUUUUGUCCAGCCCCAAGUCCAAGCCAUGCAUUUCCAAACCAGAGUCUCUCCUACAUGAUUGUCUGGUUUUCCAAGACGUAACUCCGUGAUGAUACCGAUGAACUCACAAGCUGGAUUCACCAGUCCCCCCUUACCUGACUGCAGAGCACACAUCAAGAAGGUUAUAUCACCUGAUUUGACCCUGCUAGAACAAGGGUAAUAAAAUAUCGAGUUAUUUCAGCUUUCAAUGUAAUAAUAUGUUGCUGAUUAUAAUUUCACUUCUAGAAUUAUGAAGAUCUUUUUUUGCAAGCAACAGAAUCCAUCAGUUCAGUUGAUCGCUUAUUUCAAUGGUUCAUUUUCCUCCUCAAAAAUUGAUGUCUUGUUUCCCAUUUGAAUAGCUCUAAUUUUAAUUAGAAGGCAUUGGCUUUUGUUGCUAAAUUAAACAGUGCCUUGCCUUUGAUCUGGUACAUACUGCACUGCACAGCCCUUGCUAAACAAAACAGAAAGAUUUUUAAAUCUCUCA